GACGAACGCUGGCUGCGUGCUUAACACAUGCAAGUCGAACGCUGAAACCCUGGUGCUUGCACCGAGGUGGAUGAGUGGCGAACGGGUGAGUAACACGUGAGUAACCUGCCCCCGACUUCGGGAUAAGCCCGGGAAACUGGGUCUAAUACCGGAUAUGAGCGCCCCUCGCAUGAGGGAUGCUGGAAAGUCUUUUCGGUUGGGGAUGGGCUCGCGGCCUAUCAGUUUGUUGGUGAGGUAAUGGCUCACCAAGACGACGACGGGUAGCCGGCCUGGGAGGGCGACCGGCCACACUGGGACUGAGACACGGCCCAGACUCCUACGGGAGGCAGCAGUGGGGAAUAUUGCACAAUGGGGGAAACCCUGAUGCAGCGACGCAGCGUGCGGGAUGACGGCCUUCGGGUUGUAAACCGCUUUCAGCAGGGAAGAAGCCCCUUGGGGUGACGGUACCUGCAGAAGAAGUACCGGCUAACUACGUGCCAGCAGCCGCCGUAA
rnacentral:rRNA from 1 species